rnacentral:pre_miRNA from 1 species
UGAUGAUGAUGAUGAUGCUGCUGCUGCUCCUGACGAUGGUUUCGCUUCCAAUCACCCCACGGAACAACCACGGAAUCAACAGCAGCAGCAGCAACAGCAUCACAAACU